GAUGAACGCUGGCGGCGUGCCUAAUACAUGCAAGUCGAGCGAACAGACGAUGAGCUUGCUCCUCUGACGUUAGCGGCGCACGGGUGAGUAACACGUGGAUAACCUCCCUAUAAGACUGGGAUAACUUCGGGAAACCGGAGCUAAUACCGUAUAAUAUAUUGCACCGCAUGGUUCAAUAGUGAAAGACGGUUUUGCUGUCACGUAUAGCUGCAUCCGGGCCGCAUUAGCUAGUUGGUAAGGUAACGGCCUACCAAGGCAACGAUGCGUAGCCGACCUGAGAGGGUGAUAGGCCACCUUGGAGCUGAAACACGGUCCAGACGCCUGCGGGAGGGCGCAGUAGGGAAUCGUCGGCAACGGGCGAAAGCCUGACGGAGCAAGGCCGAGUGAGUGGUGAAGGUCUUCGGAUCGUAAAGCUCUGUUAUGAGGGAAGAACAAAUGUGUAAGUAGAUAUGCACGUCUUGACGGUAACUAAUCAGAAAGCCACGGCUAACUACGUG
rnacentral:rRNA from 1 species